UCUUCGUGUUCAGCGAGCGACUGGCACACACGCAAAAAGCUCCUCACUCCGGCCUUCCACCUCAAGGUCCUGGAGCAGUUCGUGGACGUGUUCAACAUCCAGAGCAACAAACUCGUCAGCAAGCUGAAGAAGGAGGCUGACGGUUGUGUCUUCGAUAUCUUCCCCUACAUCACCAAUUGUACUCUGGACAUCAUCUGUGAGACAGCGAUGGGGUGUUUCAUCAACGGUCCCGGACAACCCUGAGUCAGACUACAUUAUGGCCAUCCACAGGAUAAGCCAUCUAAUACAGCAACGCAUGAGUCGUCCUGUGGAUGCAGCCAGACUUUAUAUUCCGACUACUUGGUACGCCCGGGAGCAAGAAGAGCUGUUUGAAGACAACUUGUCAUUCCUUCACCCGGACACGUCAGGCGAGACGAAAGCUGUACAGGCAACAAAAGCAGCAAGCGUGCAAGGGAUUAAGAAACAACGGUUGCUUUCUGGAUCUGCUAGCUGUAGUACCUGAAGGAGGUACAGUUCUCACCGACGAGGACAUUCGUAGAGAGGUGGACCUCUUCGUGUUCGCCGGCCACGACACCACCACCCAAUCAUUGAUUUUUUUUAAUCCUCUCUAUAAUUUGUCUCUCCCUCCAGGCUCGAGUUCAUGCAGAACUGGAUAGCAUCUUCGAAGGAACAGGACCGUAACCAGCCACCAUGGAUGACAUCCGUCAGAUAAAUACAACUGAGAAACUGCAUCAAGGAGCUCUCAGACUCUCCCGUCUGUUCCUUACUCGUCAGACAACCAGUGAAGAUAUAAACGAUUGUAAUUAUCGCAUCCCCGCCGGUGCCUCAGUCAUGGUGUUCACCUAUGCCCUACACCGUGACCCUGAGCAGUUCCCUGACCCUGAGGUUUUUGACCCUGACCGCUUUCUGCCGGAGAACGCCAGCAAGCGACACCCCUUUGCCUACAACGCCUUCAGCGCCGGACCCAGGAACUGCAUCGGUCAGAAGUUCGGCAUGAUAGAAGAGAAGGUGAUGGUAAGCAGUGUGCUGCGCAAGUUCCGAAUUGAGAGUAUCACUCCAAUGAAGAAACUUAAACUCCUUAGCGAGAUUGUCCUCAGACCCAAGGAUGGCAACCACGUCCGGCUCUUUCCCAGGACAGCAGAGAGCCCGACCUCAGCCAGGGGCAGCAACAGCGUGCAAGACAACAACACCAGGUGUCAGGGUGAAGGUAGUUGAUAAAGACAAUCCUAUGAUGGCUUCAUAACCGGGCGCAACACUCAAGCUGACACGUACCGUCGUCUGUUUCACUGAAGCUUUAUGCAAAGAUACAUACACAUUCUGCAAUGUUAUUUUACAUAUUUUAGAAGCAGAUUACCUAUUUAAAAAUAACUCUGUAUAAAUAUCACUCUUUAGCAA